GUGUUAAGUUGUACACUUAGCUACGACCUCAAUAUAAGUGAUUAUCGUAGGCGUUGGAUACUGGCUCCUUCGUUGAAUUUGAUUUUUUCUGGCAUGACGGAUACAUCUCCUAAGUACUGUCACUUGGAUUUUUUUUCUUUCCCCAAAAGAUAAUGCCGAAGUAUAUCCAUCUGGUUGCGAUUUGGUUGUUCAUCCUUGCCUUCCAACUUUUCCAGAAGCCAAUUACGUCCACGCACAUGUGCCGCUAUAAAAGAUACAAAGAGGUAAUUUCGG
rnacentral:misc_RNA from 1 species